ACCAUAGUUACCGCAUGGUAACUAUGUAAGAGGUGGCUAUGCUACCGCUUUUGGAUGGGCCCGCGGCGCAUUAGCUAGUUGGUGGGGUAAAGGCUUACCAAGGCAAUGAUGCGUAGCCGAACUGAGAGGUUGAUCGGCCACAUUGGGACUGAGACACGGCCCAAACUCCUACGGGAGGCAGCAGUAGGGAAUCUUCCACAAUGGGCGAAAGCCUGAUGGAGCAACGCCGCGUGGGUGAAGAAGGUCUUCGGAUCGUAAAACCCUGUUGUUAGAGAAGAAAGUGCGUGAGAGUAACUGUUCACGUUUCGACGGUAUCUAACCAGAAAGCCACGGCUAACUACGUGCCAGCAGCCGCGGUGAUACGUAGGUGGCAAGCGUUAUCCGGAUUUAUUGGGCGUAAAGGGAACGCAGGCGGUCUUUUAAGUCUGAUGUGAAAGCCUUCGGCUUAACCGGAGUAGUGCAUUGGAAACUGGGAGACUUGAGUGCAGAAGAGGAGAGUGGAACUCCAUGU
rnacentral:rRNA from 1 species